rfam:Hordeum vulgare subsp. vulgare, WGS project CAJW01000000 data, contig: morex_contig_1576230
UUUAUACUCCCUCCGUCACAAAAAAUUUGUUUUAAAUUUGUCUAGGAAUGGAUGUAUCAAAAUACUAAAAUAUGACUAGAUACAUUCAUAUCUAGAUAAAUCUAAGACAAGAUUUUUAAAAACGGAGGGAGUAUGUA